AUGACAAGAUACAUAGUAAUGUUUAAAACCUUUGCCAUUGCAUCCUCUAUCCUCACAGCUCAUUCUGAUGAAUCUCUGAAGGGUACAGACAAAUCAUCCAUCUCCAGCCUGACCAGGGUUCCUUCUGCACCUCGCAGUGAGAGAGGGAAAGAAUUAACAAUUUCACCUAAAUCCAGUCUGGCCAGGCUCUCCUCUGCCUCUGUAGAUGAGAGAGCAGCUGAAUCAACUUCAAGAGAAGUCUACAGUAAUGUGGAGGAGCUACUGGUGCCUCCGACUGCUUCUGUUGGCAGGGCUUUGGCAUUAGUGACUGCUGCAAGACAUUCUGGAAGGGCUUUAUCAGGAAGAGCUUUCUCUGAAACAGAACUAGUGGAUGCAGCACACAGAGUGUCCUCAGUCAGGAUACCCAGUAGAGGGGAGAGUGUGAGGAGAACAGCAGAGACACCAGAGAGACACACUUCCUCAGUAUCUCCACAUGCAUCUUCAGUGUCAGAGUGCCCAGUGAUGUUUGAAAAAGAGGACUGGUGUGUAAUCACCAUUCCCUCUGCUCCAGUGAAGAAAGCAGUCAAAUUCAACCCCUUCGAAGAGAUCUCACCUAUUACUUCACCCAGCAUAGAGUUAGCUUGGGAGGAGCUUCUACAGACAUCAGAAUCCAUCGUUGAUAAAGUAGCCUUCAAGACUUUAGAGAUUGUAAACAAACAAUUACAAUGCUCAAGGAGGGAGAUCUCUGAAAUGGCCCCAUCUGACCCUGUGGUUGUGUCUCAGUCUCUAAACGUACUUUCUUAUGAUGAUCUCUCUUACUCGCCUUCAGCUGUGGAGGAAUUCUCUACUGCCUCGGCAAGAUGCUCAGAAGGUGAUGUCACUGAAGGAUUCUCUACUGCCUCGGCAAGAUGCUCAGAAGGUGAUGUCACUGAAGGAUUCUCUACUGCCUCGGCAAGAUGCUCAGAAGGUGAUGUCACUGAAGGAUCUCACUCUGAAACAGCAGUAGAGAGUGAAGCAAUCUCUGUGAGGGAGAUUUCACCAGCAGUGACUGCGAGGUGUUCUGCCAGUGACGAAUCAGAACGAGUUCCCUCUGAAACAGCAGUUUUGGGAGCAGCAGCGCCAUCAAUGGAGGAGUUAUCAGAGUCACCAACUGCAUUAGUCUUUGAGGGUGGGAUUUCACCAGCGGUGUUGGCCAAUGAUGUAUCAGAAAGAGCUCCCUCUGAAACAUCAGUAGAGGGAGCUGAGGCUUCAGAGAGACACACAUCUCUCAGUGUAUCUCCACAGACUUCAUUUGUGUCAGCGCAUUCUGAAGAAUCACUGAAGGCUAAAGACUUGUCACCUCCAUCCAGUCUGGCCAGGAUUCCCUCUGCACAUCUCAGUGAUGGUGUGUCACCAGCAGUGUCUGCAAGAUGUUCUGCUAGUGACUUACUAGAAAGAGCUUCCUCUGAAACAACAAAGCCCAGAGUGAUCCCCUCUGCACCAUCAAUGGAUGAGCUAUUGGUAUUACCAACUGCUUCUGUUGUUGGGAUUUCAACAGCAGUGUCUGCAAGAUCUUCAAGAGGGAGUUUUGCAGAAAGAGCUCCCUCAGAAACAACAGUGGAGGGGGUAAAAUAUUCUGAAAGUGGUUUAUCAGGAAGACCUUUCUCUGAAACGGAACUAGUGGAUGCAGCACACAGAGUGUCCUCAGUCAGGAUACCCAGUAGAGAGGAGAGUGUGAGGAGAACAGCAGAGACACCAGAGAGACACUCAUCUCCCAGAGUAUCUCCACAGACAUCUUCAGUGUCAGCUACACGCAUGUCAUCUAAGCCCAGCCUGUCUAGGGUCCCCUCUGUGUCUCUCAGUGAUGGUGCAGCAGAGUCAGUCUCUAUGGAAGUCAUCUCUAAUGUGGAGGAUAUUUAUACAGCACCAUCAGUGGAGCAGAUUGUGUCUUCAACUGCUGCUGUGGUCGGCAUUUCACCAGCAGCGUCUGCUAGAUGUUCCUCAAAUGACAUGUCUGGAAGAACUUGUUUCGAAGCAGCAGUAGUGGGAGCAGAGAUACCAGAGAAACACACCUCUCCAAAAGUUUCUCCACAGACAUCUUUAAUGUCAGGUAAAGUAAUUCAUGAUUUAUUAAAUACAUUAAGAUUGCUGCGUUAAUAAGGUCCAUAUCACCUUUUCGGUAAAAGUGGGAAGUUUAAAAUAUUGUUCUAAUUUUUACUUUGUCGCCCCAUCUCUAGCUCAUGUUGGUGAAUCUAUGAGAGGUACAGACAUUUCACCUAAAUCUAGUCUGGACAGGAUUUCCUCUAUUGGUGAAAGAGCAGCAGAAUCAGCUUCUAGAGAAGUGAUGUAUAUGGAGGAGAUGUAUAAAGCAUCAAUGGCAGAACUACCAGGGCCUCCAGCUGCUGUUGGAGGUAUUUCACAAACAGUGUCUGCUAGAUGUUCACAAGGUGACAUGGCAGAAAGAGCCCCCUCUGAAACAGUAGUAGGGAGAGACACAUCUUCCAGAGUUUCUCCUAGGGUUUCUCCACAAACAUCUGUGAGCUCAGGUAAAGUGUUAAACUAUCUUGAAUGAAAUAUAAGGUUGUUAUGUCAGUAUUAUGGGCAAAAUGAAUUGUGAAAUACCACAGAAUACUUCAAUCUGGUCUGUCUUUUCACAACUCAUGUUGAUGUUACUCCAACAGCUACAGGCUUGUCAUCUAAGUUCAGUCUUGCCAGGGUUCCCUCUGUGUCUCUCAGGGAUGGUGCAACCGAACCAGCUCAGAUAGACAACGAAACACUGUCAAUGGAGGAGCUUAUGACGUCUCCAUUGUAUUCUCAUUGGUCACCAGCCGGUUCUGAAAGUGACUUAUUAGGCUUAAAAGGAGCUCCCUCUGAAACAGCAGUGGAUGGAGCACACAGAGGGUUCUUGGUAACGAUACCCAGUAGAGAGGAGAGUGUGAUGAGAACAGCAGAGACACCAGAGAGAGACACAUCUCCCAGUGUUUCUCCACAGACUUCGUUUACAGGUGUUGUUUCUGAUGUGACAGUUUUCUACAGAGAUUCAUCUGUGGGAGAAUUGCAUCUUUCUCCAUCUGUUGGUGAGGAACUUGUGGUGGAGGCUUACGAAUUACCAUCACUGGAGAAGAAGGAGACUCCAUCUACUUCAGUUGGUAGACUUUCACCAGUAGUGUCUGCAAGAUAUACUGGAAGUGGUUUAACAAGAAGAGCUUUCUCUGAAAAAGAAGUAACGAGACCAGAGACACCAGAUAGACACAUGUCUCCCAGACUUUCUCCUAGAGUUUCUCCACAGUCCAGUCUGACCAGGAUUUCCUCUGCACCAACAAUGGAGGAGCCACGGAUGUCUCCAACUGCUUCUGUUGGUAGACUUUCACCAGCAGUGUCUUCUGUAAGAUAUUCCGGAAGGGGUUUAUCAGGAAGACCUUUCUCUGAAACAGAACUAGUGGAUGCAGCACACAGAGUGUCCUCAGUCAGGAUACCCAGUAGAGAGGAGAGUGUGAGGAGAACAGCAGAGACACCAGAGAGACACACAUCUCCCAGAGUGUUUCCUAGAUCUUCGCAAAGAGUUUCUCCACAAACCUCUCUCAUAUCAGGUACAAUUGUCAUCCAUACUCUGUAGAAAGGUCUACUAAUAACAUUGUUGGGGGUAAACAUGGGCAAAACUUGUAAGGUGAAAUGUAAACAAUAUGUGCUUAGUUUUGUGUCUCUAUCCACAGCUCAUGUUGGUGAAUCUCUGUCCGGUACAGAUAUUUCCCCACAAUUCAGUCUGCCUAGGAUUCCCUUUGCGCCAUCAAUGGACAGACCCACAUCUCCCAUCAUUUCUCAAAGAGUUUCUCUACAAUCCAGUCUGUCCAGAAUUCCAUCUGCACCAUCAAUGGAGGAGCUACUGGUUUCUCCAUCUACUUCUGUUGGAAGAAUGUCACCAGCAGUUUCAAGAAGAUCUUCAAAAAGUAGUUUAUCAGAAAGAGCUCCUUCUGAAACAAUCAUAAGAUAUUCUGAAAGCUGUUUAUCAGGAAGAGCUUUCUCUGAAACAAAACUAGUGGAUGCAGCACACAGAGUGUCCUCAGUCAGGAUACCCAGUAGAGAGGAGAGUGUGAGGAGAACAGCAGAGAUACCAGAGAGACACUUAUCUCCCAGAGUUUCUCCUAGAAUGUCUCCCAGAACUUCUCCUCAAUCCAGUCUGGCCAGGAUUCCAUCGGCACCAUCAAUGGAGGAGCCACUGGUGUCUUCAACUGCUUCUGUUUGCAGGAUUCCUCCUGCAGCAACAGUGGAAGCAGCACACAGAGAAGAGAGUGUAGCGAGAACAGCAGAGGCACCAGAGAGUCACACAACUCACAGAGUUUCUUUCAGAAUAUAUCCACAGACAUCUAAGACAAGCGUCCUUUCUGAUGUGGCAGUUUUGUACAGCCCAUCCAUGACCGCAGGGUUUCGUCUUGAGGUUUUAGACAUGGAGUGUGACCAGGUGUAUACGUCAGUGAGUGACAUCACAGCAAAAGUUCCCUCUGACACUGCUGCAAUGAAGACAAUACACAGAGAGUCCUCAGGGAGGAUACCCAGUAGAGAGGAGAUUGUGAGGAGAACAGCAGAAACGCAAACAUCUCAUGCAUCAGGUAAAUAUCAACUUUCUGAAAUAUUAUUAACAGAAACCAGACUAUUUUCUAAACAUUUUUCUUCCUAAUCGCAUAGGAGUAUUGGACAACAGCACACAGGUUUCACAAACUGCAAUCCGCCUUUGUGAAAAGGUGAGUGCCUACCCUAUAGAAGUGCAGCAGGGGACCCUGGGACUUGAAGUUUAUCUAGGAGCUUCUCCAGCCAAUGUUGUUGGGCCUCAAAACAAUAGAACUCAAAACACACGUUCACAGGGUGUGCAGACUAGUCCAGGUAAAUUUAUCCUCAGAAUACAAUAAUUCAUCUUUAAUAAUUGUUCAAUCAUAUUUUGUGUGCAUUGAAGAUAUUAGGGGAUUUUUUACCCCUCCAAUAUAUUUGUGGAAAUGAGAAUGUUCACUUUUGAUGUUGCAUUCGAUUCUCAUAUUAGAUCAUCAUGGCGAGCCCUCACAGAGCUUUCCUAUUGGAGCAGGACGCGUCACUCCUCAUGCUCAGCCUGCCCUCGAGAAUUACACCAAUCAGGUCUGGACACUCUACCACUUGGCCAAUGAGACAGAGGAGGGCACACUGUCCGCUAAAGUUAUCUCCCAGCCUCCGUACAAUGGUAGUGCUUAUAUUCGCAACUUUGGGGCUGGACAUGUGUUACUGGCUGAGAGGUCCCCUUCCCCUCAGAAAUCUGACGCCCAGUCCUGGAGUGGCCAACCCAAACAGCCCCAGCCACCACCCUUCCUAAUGAGCCCAAGAAGGGCCUUCACACACAGGGCACAGUCCUCCACCCUCCACCCUCCUCCUCUACCCCAGCCUCCAACCGUCCACAACCAGGAGAUCAGCAUCCCCAACUUCUUCAUGCAUCCCCAACUUCUUCCUGUGUCCCCAGGCAAGAUCGUUCGUAGCAUUCCGACCGCGAUGCAGACCAGGUCGAGGUCUGCUGUGGUCCGGCCAGGUGACCCCCCGGGGUACCUGUCAUUCUCCGUUCCCAUGGAGACGGUGAGCGGAGGUUCUGGUCAGGACGGUCAGGCCCAGUUCCUUCAGGUCAUCAGUGCCGAGGGGAACACUGUUUACUCUCCCGCUCUCAUAAACAUUUUCACCACAGAGGAAGAGGACCAGGAAGGAGCCAGGAGGCGGCCAACUAGUGCCCCAUUUAAUUGGUAGGGGACUGUUGUCUAGUUUAGGGUUUCCCAAACUCUGUCCUGCCCCCCCCCCCGGGCAAAACUGAGUUUGGGAAAGCCUGGUCUAGUGAGUAUCAAUAAAUACAUUUGCAUAUUAUAACAAAUGUUCUCCCUCUCAUGUAUUAAAC
rnacentral:lncRNA from 1 species